rnacentral:lncRNA from 1 species
CGGGGCGGAUCUGAAGGCAGGAGCCCUGCCCCGCCUCCCGUCCCGACUAGCAAAAUUUCGUUCCGCCUCCCGCCCCGAAUCCGUGACGGGUUAAAAAAUACAUCCCAUAAUCCGCCCCGCCUCGUAACCCGCCUCCCGCUAGCGCCCCGAAUUCGCUCUGCCAACUAAUAUUUUUCAUAAAAUUAUAAUAUUAUAAAUAUUUUAUAAAUUAUAAAUUAAUAAUUUUUAAUAAUAUUAUAUAUAUAAUUUAACAAUGUCAAUUAUAAAAAUAAAAAAAUCAAUCACAAUUCAAAACAAAAUUCAAAAAUUUCAAAUACAUUAGAGAUGAGAGUACUAACUUUAUUUAUAUUUUGAACUUUUUUUUUAUAAAUAUAUUAUAUUUUAAGAAUAUUUUUUUAAAAUAUAAAUAAUUUUCGGGACGAAUUCGGAGCGGAUCAUGACGGGGCGGAUUCGGAGCGGGUCAAAAUUUCUCCCGUUUCCUACCCCGAAUCCGUUUAUUUUCUUCCAUUUACUGUCCCCGUCGGAACGGAACGGAUUGGGAUAAGAGCUCCACCG